rnacentral:rRNA from 1 species
AGCGAACGCUGGCGGCCGGCCUAACACAUGCAAGUCGAGCGAACCUUUCGGGAUUAGUGGCGGACUGGUGAGUCACACGUCGGAUCAUGCCUUUUUGUUCGUAAUACCUCCGGGAGACUUGUGCUCAUACCGCAUGUGCCCUUCGGUCGGACUAUUUAUCGCCUUUCGGGCGGCCCGCCUCUGAUUAGCUAGUUGGUUGAUGUACUGGCUCACUAAGGCGACGAUCAGUAGCUGGUCUGAGAGGAUCAUCAGCCACAUGGGGACUGAGACACGGGCAAAAAGACUACGGGAGGCAGCAGGGGCGAAUCUUGCGAAAUGGGCGAAAGUCUGAAGCAGACAUGCAGCGUGAAUGAUGAAGGUCGUAGGAGUGGAAAAUUCUUUCACCGGGGACGAUAAUGACGGUACCCGGAGAAGAAGGCCCGGCUAACUUCGUGC